rnacentral:rRNA from 1 species
CCUUCGGGGCGCAGCAGGCGCGAAAACUUUACAAUGCUGGAAACAGCGAUAGGGGGACUUUGAGUGCCAGGAUACAAUUCUGGCUGUCGUCGUGCCUAAAAAGCACGGCAUAGCAAGGGCCGGGCAAGACCGGUGCCAGCCGCCGCGGUAACACCGGCGGCUCGAGUGGUAACCGCUAUUAUUGGGUCUAAAGGGUCUGUAGCCGGCUGAAAAAGUCUCUUGGGAAAUCUGGCUGCUCAACAGUCAGGCUUUCAGGAGAUACUCUUCGGCUCGAGACCGGGAGAGGUGAGAGGUACUUCAUGGGUAGGGGUGAAAUCUUGUAAUCCUUGAAGGACCACCAGUGGCGAAGGCGUCUCACCAGAACGGAUCUGACGGCAAGGGACGAAAGCUAGGGGCACGAACCGGAUUAGAUACCCGGGUAGUCCUAGCCGUAAACGAUACUCGCUAGGUGUCGGCCACGGUGCGACCGUGGUCGGUGCCGUAGGGAAGCCGUGAAGCGAGCCACCUGGGAAGUACGGCCGCAAGGCUGAAACUUAAAGGAAUUGGCGGGGGAGCAC